UGGUGUUCCUGUGUCCCAGGCUCUGUGGGAUCUCAGAGGGGGCUGCGCCUUCUGCCCUCUGGCAGUUCCCACACGGGCUGGCUGAGGCUCCUACUCUCUGCACUCCGCCCCUCUCUCCAGCAAUCCCCUGGGAGCCACUGUGUUCAAUGGGCUAUCAGGCUUCCCCAUCACUCUCACGCCCCCCUCCAUUACCCCUGAAUAGGUGGGAUCCAGACCCACACAAGCACUCCCAGCCCCAAGUCCCCAGCCAAUCUUUCCCAGGAUCGCCUGGGACCUCACAGUUCUGAUGCACUACCUGCCUAGCCCUGCUCAAGACUCAAAGUCCUGGGCGGCUGGCACUCCAAGAGGCUGCCAUUCUAUUGUUUGGCAACAGCAUAUUCUAAAGCAGCAGUGUAAACUCAGCGCCAACACCCUCAGAUUGUAAGAUUCUGCUCAGCGAGCCUAGUAGCAGGUAAAAGUUGGGAUCUCUAAGAUCUCAGUUUCCAUCACCCUAAGCACCGACAUUCAGGGAUUCUAUGUGUCUCCAGCGUCCUUUGGGUUUUUGGCCACUGCAGCAGCUUCUGGCCACAAUACAAGGAGAGGCCUACACGGGGUGGGGCAGGCAGGACAGGCGGUGGUUGCCUGGCUUGUUUUUUUGAGGGGAGGUGGGAGGCUGUUGGCCAUGGGCCCCUUUAGGGUCCACAUCUGCUGGGUUGGGGCUCAGCCAGAGCCCGGCUGGCUGGUCCAGUUGCCGGGCUGCAGAGGCGAGGAAGGGAGCCCGGCUGGCAGGCUGUGUGAUGCUAAUGAGGCAGGGAGGCACGGCUUUUGUCCUGCACUUGUCCUUGCUGGAGGGUCCUCAGAGAGAGAGACAGGUCCCUCCUCAGACCCAAGUGGCUGUGAUUAGCCUUCAAUCACUCCCUUUGAUGGCUCCCAGUGCUCUGAGGGGCGUGGACAGGGACUGGGGAGGGAAGGGAAGCAAGCCUGGUCCCGUGCCCAUCCCUGUGCUUUCCAGGGAGCGUCCAAAAAAACCGCACUGAGUCAAGACCAGAGUGACAACACUGCUCCAUCCUCUUCUCCCUGAAGGGCCCUCGAGCUCCCCAAGGGAUCCAGUGCAUCCUUUCUGACUUUCCAGCUCUG
rnacentral:lncRNA from 1 species